rnacentral:misc_RNA from 1 species
UAAAAUCUUCUAUUCAUACAUUUCCGAGUGCUGAAAUAUCCACUUUUCAAGUCGGUAACAGAAACCUUCAGCUUAAAUUUUCUUCAGAGCAAGGAAAAAUUAUUUAUGGCAACAGCAAGAAUUCAGUUGAUGAAUUGGUUGAUCAAUCAUACAGCUAUUAUACAGGAUAUGAUGGAAGACGUGACAAAGCUCCGCAGAACGCUGGGGCUUAUAUAUUCCGUCCAAAUGGAACAUUUCCCAUAGCGCCAAAUAAG